rnacentral:lncRNA from 1 species
GCCUCCGUUCUCUGCAUCCCUCCACCCCAGUAUCCCUGCACCUCUUCAUCCCUCCAUUCCUGCAUCCCUCUAUUUUUCCAUCCCUCCAUUCCUGUAUCCCUGUGCCCUCCAUCCUCCAUCCCAGCAUCCCUCCAUCCCUGCUCCCCACUCUCACUUCCCUUCCCUUCACAGACAGGCUUUUCCUGCCAUCCUCAGACCCCACCCAGGGUUACCUGAUGCCUUUCCAGCUGCACACGGGGACUGACUCACCUCUCUCUUUCUCAGUCCCAAAGUCCCGAAAGAGAGCAUCUGAUGUGGUCAGCUUGUGACAAGGCGUCCACCUUCUGUCCAUGACAUGGAGGCCAGGGGAAGGUCUCACUGCCCAGCACCCCACCCUGUGCUCCCAGGCCUUUUGAAUGUUCCUCCUGCUCAGCCCAGUGACUGCGGGCUGUGGCUCCUCCUCCAGCCUCCCCUCGAGGUCCUGGUCUUACUUAGGAGGCCCCGGGUGUAGAUGCCUUCCCACCCACCAGGCAUUGCCCCUUUUCCUGGCUUCACAGACUCGGGAAUAAAGUUUCCUUCUGUUUCCCCUCUUGCAGAAGGAGAUCCGGUUGGCAGCUAAACCGCGCUGGGAACAGGGGCCUGAGUCCUGGACUAGGGCUCUUUCCCCGGGGCUGCUGCAGAUGGGGAGGAGCCUACACCCGCCUCCCGAGUGCUAAUCAGACCUGACAGGCUGGAGAAUGGCCAGUCAGCCUGAGGCCACCGCGGGACACCACCUAGGCCCAGCUUCUCCCCCCACCAGAGGGCGCCAGAGCCCGCCAAGCCUCGUAGGAGAUGGCAACAGGGCCUGCUGCUGCCACCUAGCGGCCAAUUCCGGGAAUGAAUCUCGGCACGCUCAUUACCCAGCGACUCUGCCCAUCUUGACCCUUUAUGUGAAGCAGAACAGCCGCUUCCGCAGUGAGCUGUCAGAAGGCGUCGUGCCUGUCUUGCUAGUGGGGAAACUGAGGCUCAGAGAGGCAGAAGACUUGCCCAAGAUCACACCACCGGGACCCAGGAUUCAAGCGCAGGCCUGCCCAGGCUCUCUGUGGCCUCCUGGCUGCGAGGAGGCAGCCAGGGACCAGGUGCCACCCUUCUGAGACACCUGAGAUCCCAGGCCCGAGAGGAUGAAGGCGGGAUUACCUGGAGCGUGUCUGAAUGCUGGAGGAAGAAGGGCAGCUGGGAGAUGAAGCUGUCAGGAUGGGCCGCAUCCCAUUUCCUGCCUCGUUUCAGUUCAACUUUCCAACAGACCUCCCUGGCUCGUCUUGCUCUUCUCUAAUGGACAAACAAACAGGCUCAGAGAGGUGGUGUGACUUGCCCAAGGUCACUCAGCUUGGAUGCUAUGGAACAGGGACGUCCACUGUCCCAGUCUGUUUAUGGGAAGCCGCUCUGCAACUGUCCUGACCCACCACAUGCCCCACCGCUGUUUCUCUUGCCCUGACCCCUUGUUCCCUGGACCAGGGUGGCACAGCUCCAGGCUCUUGGGCCCUUCCCGAGGGCAGGCACCUGUGACUGUGUCCCCAAAGACCUGAGUGGCUGAGGGGGCCCCACAGAGCUUGGACUUCCUGGAGGACAAGGAGGGGUCUGCCAGCCACCCCCACCACGCCCGCCCCAGGGCUCCCCUGGAGCUUCCAUGCCAGCCGGACUCAGGUGGGUCUGGAGGAGCACCGUGCCUCCAAUCAGACCUUGAGAUGUGCCCCCUGCCCCCACUGUGCCCUCCCCUGCCCAGGAGUCUGGUUGCAAACCCUGAUUAAGGGGAUUUUAUCUCCACCAGAGGGCCAGUAGGUGGGAAGUAGCUUAAACAAUGCAGGUUUAUAAUCUCACAGUUCUGGAGGUCAAGAGUCUGAAAUGGGCCUCAUGGGGCUAAAACCAAGGUGUCUGCAGGGCUGUGUUCCUUCUGGAGGCUCCAGGGCAGGAAGGGGAGGAUCCACUUCUGUGCCUUUCCAGCUUCUAGAGGCUGCCUGCGUUCCUUGGCUCGUGGCCCCUUCCUCCACCUUCAAGCCAGCAGCGGAGGCCUGAGUCCUUCUCAUGCCAUCUCUCUGUUCUCUCUCCUGCCUCCUCCUCCACACUGAAGGACCCCUGUGAUCACACUGGCCCCCCCACCGGAUGACCCAGGAUAAUCCAUCUCCCUGUUUGAAGGUCGGCUGAUUAGCAACCUUCAUUCCAUCUGCCUCCUUCAUUCCCCCUGGCCAUGUAAUGGGAUUCACAGCUUCUGGGGAUUAGGACAUGGACAUCUUGUGGCGGGGGCAUAAUUCUGUCGACGACACCAAGAAACACUUGGAUGUUAAGGAUUCACCGAACACUGUUCAGGCUGAGGCAGGAGAAUUGCUUGAACCUGGGAGGCAGAGGUUGCAGUGAGCCGAGAUCAUACCAUUGCACUCCAGCCUGGGCAACAAGAGUGAACCUCCAUCACAAAAAACAAACAACAAAAAAAAUCAGGUAUAAUUACAUACAGUGAAACAUAUGGUGACUCAAGUACACAGUUCAGUGUUUUUUUUGUUUUUGUUUUUUUUUAAGAUGGACUCUUGCUCUGUCGCCCAGGCUGGAGUUCAGUGGCGCGAUCUUGGCUCACUGCAACCUCUGUCUUCCAGGUUCAAGCAAUUCUGCCUCAGCCUCCCAAGUAGCUGGGACUACAAGUGCACGCCACCAUGCCUGGCUAAUUUUUGUAUUUUUAAUAGAGAUGGGGUUUUUUUUUCUUUCUUUUUUUUUUUUUUUGAGACAGGGUCUCACUCUGUCACCCAGGCUGGAGUGCAGUGUCACAAUCUCGGCUCACUGCAACCUCUGCCUCUUGGGUUCAAGCAAUUCUUCUGCCUCAGCCUCCUGAGUAGCUGGUAGCUGGGACUAUAGGCACGUGCCACCACACCCAGUUAAUUUUUUGUAUUUUUAGUAGAGAUGGGGUUUCACCGGGUUAGCCAGGAUGGUCUCAAUCUCUUGACCUCGUGAUCUGCCCGUUUUGGUCUCCCAAAGUGAUGGGAUUACAGGCGUGAGCCACCGCGCCAGGCUGAGAUGGGGUUUCACCACGUUGGCCAGGCUGGUCUGGAACUCCUGACCUCAGGUGAUCCGCCUGCCUUGGACUCCCAAAGUGCUGGGAUUACAGACGUGAGCCACCGUGCCCGGCCAGUUCUAUGAGUUUUGAUGAAUGUGUCCUGCUUCUUCCCAGGCUCCACCAUCUCUUCCCCUAAAGGCAACCACCAUUCUGAUUUCUCUCACCAAAGACUGGAAAAAUAUCCCAAUACCUGGAUGUAUGCCUCACGUGUCCCGCUGGCCCCAGCACCCAGGUAUAGUUAGUUACUGCUGUGCCUGGCUUCACUCUCACUUUUUUUUUUUUUUUCUUUUUUUGAGACAUAGUCUCGCUCUGUAGCCCAGGCUGGAGUGCAGUGUGGCACAAUCUCAGCUCACUGCAACCUUCACCUCCCAGGUUCAAGCGAUUCUCCUGCCUCAGCCUCUCGAGUAGCUGCGACUACAGGUGCCCACCACCACACCUGGCUAAUUUUUGUAUUUUUAGUAGAGAUGGGGUUUCACCUUGUUGGCCAGGCUGGUCUCGAACUCCUGACCUCAAGUGAUCCACCUGCCUCAGCCUCCCAAGGUGCUGGGAUUGCAGGCCGGCCUUACCUGGUAUGGUUUUUAGGUUCAUGUUGAUGCCUGGAGUUUCAGUAAUUCCCUCCCAUUCGUUGCUGAGUAGCACUGCAACACAUGCAGGCAGCUAUUUGGGGAUCUUUUCACCUGUUGAUGGGUGUCUGGACUGUUUCCAGUUUUUGGCUGUUACAAAUGAAGCCUCUGUGAGCCACGUACAAGUUCUUCUGUGGAUGUUUUCAUUUAGGGAAAGGGGUAAAUAGGAGUGGAAGUGCUGGGUCACAGGGCAAAUGUCCAUUUGAGUUUAUUAGAAACAAUUCUCCAAAAUGAUUGGCAUUUUACCUUGUACUAGCAGAGUCUAGGAGUGUGGCUGCUCCCAGAUUCUCAUCAAACUACAGUGCUGACAUCUUUAGUUCUAGGCCUUCUAGUGUGGAUGCACUGGUAUCUUGUUAAAUGCUUUUAACUGUUUUGGUAGAGAUGGGGCCUUGCUGUAUUGCAUAGUCUGGUCUUGAACACCUGGCCUCAAGUGAUCUCCAGCCUCACCCUCCCGAAGUGCUGGGAUUACAGGUGUGAGCCACUGCUCUGGGCCUCAUUCAGUGUUUUGCUUCUCCCUGACAACUAAUGGAGUUAAGCUCGUUUUCAUGUUUAUUGGCCAUUAAGUCAUCUUGCUUUUGGAAGUGCCAAUUGUUAACUGGCUUGUCCUCUUCUUUUUGCCUUACACAGUUAAUACAUGCUGGAGAUUACAUGUACUGCAAAGAUUUUCUCCUAGCCGGUGACUUGUCUUUUUCGUUUUUGUUUCUGUUUUUUUUUUUUUCUUUUUUUUUCUUUUCUUUUUUUCUGAGAUGGAGUCUCCUCGCUCUAUCGCCCAGGCUGGAGUGCAGUGGCAUGAUCUCAGCUCACUGAAACCACUGCCUCCCGGGUUCACGUGAUUGUCCUGUCUCAGCCUCCCGAGUAGCUGGGAUUACAGGCAUGCGCCACCAAGCACAGCUAAUUUUUGUAUUUUUAGUAGAGAUGGGGUUUUGCCAUGUUGGCCAGGCUGGUCUUAAACUCCUGACCUCAGGUGAUCCGCCCACCUCGGUCUCCCAAAGUGCUGGGAUUACAGGCGUGAGCCACCGCGCCUGCCCAGCUUAUCUAUUCAUUGGAGGAUCUGAGUGACAUGAGAAACUUAGGUUUUCUUUUUUUGAGACAGAGUCUUACUCUGUCGCCCAGGCUGGAGUGCAGUGGCAUGAUCUCGGCUCACCACAACCUCUGCCUCCUGGGUUCAAGCCAUUCUCCUGCCUCAGCCUCUGGAGUAGCUGGGAUUAUAGGCACCUGUCAUCACACCUGGCUAUCCACUUAGGUUUUCAAAGGGCCCCUUGGUCUUGGGGUGGAGAGUGAAGGGAAGCAGGGGGAAGAAGUUUAGGUCUUGCAAUCAUCCAGGUGAGACAUGAUAUUGUCUUUGAUCAGUGGCAGGGGUGGAGGUCGGGAGAAGCGGCCAGAGAGCAGAUCUAUUUUGCGGGUGGGGCUGACGGUAUUUGCUGGUGGACUGCCCUGGAACCAGAGGGAAGUACAGAGUCAGGUUGACUACAAGGUGUUUGGCUUAAGUUCGUAGAAGAAAGGAGUUGCCAUUUGCUGGCAUGAGGAAAAUGAAGAAGCAGAUUUUGGGAGGAAAAUGAAGGGUUCGGCUUCUGACAUGCUGAACUCGAGGUGCUGUUUAAGUGGAUGUGGAUUUCACAGUUGUACUGAUGAAGCUGGAAUUCGUUCAAGUAUCAAAGGAGUGUCAUCUAAAUAUAGAUAUUGAAGGUAAUCCUCAGUCAGAUGAGGUUACUGAGAGGGUGUGAGGAGGCAGGAGCGGGGUGAGGCUGGGAGGGGCAGCUGGGGGGAGGGGAGAGAAGCCCAGCGACGUCCUCGGUGUCUGUGAAGAUGGCACUUCCGGCGGAGGGAGAGAUCCCCCGCACCCUGCCUGAGACAGGCUGAGGAACGACCCUACACAGCAACUCAGGGCACCCCAAAUCGAACACGCAACCAUUAAAGAGGGAGCGCCUCUAAGAAGCCGAAAGGGGGCACCACCAGGCUCCAGAGGGGAAAACAGGGCGCAUUUUCUAACAUGUCAGCACCCCCAGACCACCCAGGCCCCCGUCAGAAAAAUACUGGCUCCAUGAUCAGCUUUGAAACAACUUUAUUAGAAGGCUGCUUUAAAUGACAACUUCUAACGUCCAAUUCUUUCUUAAUUUGCUUUUUGACGACUCCAGUUAUAUGUUCAUAUAUAACAAUUUUUGCAUUGAUCUUUGCAUCCUAUUGAAGAUUUCCUCAUCAGGUCAUUCUGGUGGAAUGGAAGUGCAACCGUGAGGUCGCCAGUUGGCCGGCAUUGUUAAGCAAGGGCAGCAGAAGGCUGGGAGGGACGGAGCCAGUCCCCCACCCUCUCCUCCAGCCCCCGCCCACCACAAAUUCACAGUGAGAGGCACCUCACUGCCUUGACAUUCAGAAAAGAGUGAAAUAAAGAAACCCUCGCAGCGCAGGAAAUAACUGGAUUCCACCUUCAAGGUUAUUGAGGUUCCUCCCUCUCUCUCCACGCCCCCAGUCAAACCCUGAAAUCCUAAGGCUGGGGGCAAGCCCUUCCCCAACCUGCCAAAGGAAAGGAGCCAGGGCUGCUGCCUUCUGGCCGCUUUUCUGCCUCCAGUCCCAAAAGGAAUUUCUCUGGACAGAUGUGACUGCAGCGGCCCAAGGCCCCCCUUCUCCUCCUCCUCCCAUCCCACUGGGCGGGCUUGGGAAGGUACAAUCAACCAUGAACAUAAAUAUGAAUAAAAAAUGAACUUGAAAAUGACAA